CUCCCAACUGCUCUGAACUCCAGUUCCAGGUGAGACUCUGGGGACCCAGACUCAUACGGGGAGAAACUGGACUGUCUGGCAGCAGGCGAAA